rnacentral:rRNA from 1 species
UGGGGAAUCUUGGACAAUGGGGGCAACCCUGAUCCAGCGAUGCCGCGUGAGUGAAGAAGGCCCUCGGGUCGUAAAGCUCUUUAGGCUGGGAAGAAGGUUAGUAGAGGAAAUGCUAUUAAUUUGACUGUACCAGCAGAAUAAGCACCGGCAAACUCUGUGCCAGCAGCCGCGGUAAUACAGAGGGUGCGAGCGUUGAUCGGAAUUACUGGGCGUAAAGGGCGCGUAGGCGGUUAUAUGAGUGUGCUGUGAAAGCCCCGGGCUUAACCUGGGAAGUGCAGUGCAAACGAUGUAACUGGAGUAGAUGAGAGGGUGAUGGAAUUUCCGGUGUAGCGGUGAAAUGCGUAGAGAUCGGAAGGAACGUCAAUGGCGAAGGCAGUCACCUGGCAUCAUACUGACGCUGAGGCGCGAAAGCGUGGGGAGCGAACAG